rnacentral:rRNA from 1 species
ACUGCUCCGCUGACGACCGGCGCACGGGUGCGGAACGCGUAUGGAACCUACCUCAAUCAGGGGGAUAGCCCAGGGAAACUUGGAUUAAUACCCCAUAGUAUUGUUUUAUUGCAUGAUAGAACAAUUAAAACUUUGGUGGAUUGAGAUGGCCAUGCGUAUCAUUAGCUAGUUGGUAAGGUAACGGCUUACCAAGGCGACGAUGAUUAGGGGCCCUGAGAGGGGGAUCCCCCACACUGGUACUGAGACACGGACCAGACUCCUACGGGAGGCAGCAGUGAGGAAUAUUGGACAAUGGUCGGAAGACUGAUCCAGCCAUGCCGCGUGCAGGAUGACUGCCCUAUGGGUUGUAAACUGCUUUUGUACGAGAAGAACACCCUCUUCGUGAAGAGGACUGACGGUAUCGUACGAAUAAGGACCGGCUAACUCCGUGCCAGCAGCCGCGGUAAUACGGAGGGUCCGAGCGUUAUCCGGAAUCAUUGGGUUUAAAGGGUCCGUAGGCGGGCUAUUAAGUCAGAGGUGAAAUCGUGCAGCUCAACUGUAGAACUGCCUUUGAUACUGAUAGUCUUGAGUUAUGGUGAGGUAGCCGGAACAUGUGGUGUAGCGGUGAAAUGCAUAGAUAUCACAUAGAACGCCGAUUGCGAAGGCAGGUUACCAACCAUAUACUGACGCUGAUGGACGAAAGCGUGGGGAGCGAACGGGAUUAGAUACCCCGGUAGUCCACGCCGUAAACGAUGGAUACUAGCUGUUGGGUUUUCGGACUCAGCGGCCAAGCGAAAGUGAUAAGUAUCCCACCUGGGGAGUACGUUCGCAAGAAUGAAACUCAAAGGAAUUGACGGGGGCCCGCACAAGCGGUGGAGCAUGUGGUUUAAUUCGAUGAUACGCGAGGAACCUUACCAGGGCUUAAAUGGGAGAUGACAGGAGCAGAGACGCUCUUUUCUUCGGACAUCUUUCAAGGUGCUGCAUGGUUGUCGUCAGCUCGUGCCGUG